GAAGGUACAGCUAAGUGGUAGAGCACAUGCUUAGCAUGCAUGAGGUCCUGGGUUCAAUCCCCAGUGCCUUUA
rnacentral:tRNA from 1 species